GGACCGAUGGCUGAGUGGUCGAAAGCGCUCCCCUGCUAAGGGAGUAUACUCCAAAAGGGUAUCCAGGGUUCGAAUCCCUGUCGGUCCGCCA
rnacentral:tRNA from 1 species